rnacentral:rRNA from 1 species
AGCGUACACGGUGGAUGCCCUGGCAGUCAGAGGCGAUGAAGGACGUGCUAAUCUGCGAUAAGCGUCGGUAAGGUGAUAUGAACCGUUAUAACCGGCGAUUUCCGAAUGGGGAAACCCAGUGUGAUUCGACACACUAUCAUUAACUGAAUCCAUAGGUUAAUGAGGCGAACCGGGGGAACUGAAACAUCUAAGUACCCCGAGGAAAAGAAAUCAACCGAGAUUCCCCCAGUAGCGGCGAGCGAACGGGGAGCAGCCCAGAGCCUGAAUCAGUGUGUGUGUUAGUGGAAGCGUCUGGAAAGGCGCGCGAUACAGGGUGACAGCCCCGUACACAAAAAUGCACAUACUGUGAGCUCGAUGAGUAGGGCGGGACACGUGGUAUCCUGUCUGAAUAUGGGGGGACCAUCCUCCAAGGCUAAAUACUCCUGACUGACCGAUAGUGAACCAGUACCGUGAGGGAAAGGCGAAAAGAACCCCGGCGAGGGGAGUGAAAAAGAACCUGAAACCGUGUACGUACAAGCAGUGGGAGCACGCUUAGGCGUGUGACUGCGUACCUUUUGUAUAAUGGGUCAGCGACUUAUAUUCUGUAGCAAGGUUAACCGAAUAGGGGAGCCGAAGGGAAACCGAGUCUUAACUGGGCGUUAAGUUGCAGGGUAUAGACCCGAAACCCGGUGAUCUAGCCAUGGGCAGGUUGAAGGUUGGGUAACACUAACUGGAGGACCGAACCGACUAAUGUUGAAAAAUUAGCGGAUGACUUGUGGCUGGGGGUGAAAGGCCAAUCAAACCGGGAGAUAGCUGGUUCUCCCCGAAAGCUAUUUAGGUAGCGCCUCGUGAAUUCAUCUCCGGGGGUAGAGCACUGUUUCGGCAAGGGGGUCAUCCCGACUUACCAACCCGAUGCAAACUGCGAAUACCGGAGAAUGUUAUCACGGGAGACACACGGCGGGUGCUAACGUCCGUCGUGAAGAGGGAAACAACCCAGACCGCCAGCUAAGGUCCCAAAGUCAUGGUUAAGUGGGAAACGAUGUGGGAAGGCCCAGACAGCCAGGAUGUUGGCUUAGAAGCAGCCAUCAUUUAAAGAAAGCGUAAUAGCUCACUGGUCGAGUCGGCCUGCGCGGAAGAUGUAACGGGGCUAAACCAUGCACCGAAGCUGCGGCAGCGACGCUUAUGCGUUGUUGGGUAGGGGAGCGUUCUGUAAGCCUGCGAAGGUGUGCUGUGAGGCAUGCUGGAGGUAUCAGAAGUGCGAAUGCUGACAUAAGUAACGAUAAAGCGGGUGAAAAGCCCGCUCGCCGGAAGACCAAGGGUUCCUGUCCAACGUUAAUCGGGGCAGGGUGAGUCGACCCCUAAGGCGAGGCCGAAAGGCGUAGUCGAUGGGAAACAGGUUAAUAUUCCUGUACUUGGUGUUACUGCGAAGGGGGGACGGAGAAGGCUAUGUUGGCCGGGCGACGGUUGUCCCGGUUUAAGCGUGUAGGCUGGUUUUCCAGGCAAAUCCGGAAAAUCAAGGCUGAGGCGUGAUGACGAGGCACUACGGUGCUGAAGCAACAAAUGCCCUGCUUCCAGGAAAAGCCUCUAAGCAUCAGGUAACAUCAAAUCGUACCCCAAACCGACACAGGUGGUCAGGUAGAGAAUACCAAGGCGCUUGAGAGAACUCGGGUGAAGGAACUAGGCAAAAUGGUGCCGUAACUUCGGGAGAAGGCACGCUGAUAUGUAGGUGAAGCGACUUGCUCGUGGAGCUGAAAUCAGUCGAAGAUACCAGCUGGCUGCAACUGUUUAUUAAAAACACAGCACUGUGCAAACACGAAAGUGGACGUAUACGGUGUGACGCCUGCCCGGUGCCGGAAGGUUAAUUGAUGGGGUUAGCGCAAGCGAAGCUCUUGAUCGAAGCCCCGGUAAACGGCGGCCGUAACUAUAACGGUCCUAAGGUAGCGAAAUUCCUUGUCGGGUAAGUUCCGACCUGCACGAAUGGCGUAAUGAUGGCCAGGCUGUCUCCACCCGAGACUCAGUGAAAUUGAACUCGCUGUGAAGAUGCAGUGUACCCGCGGCAAGACGGAAAGACCCCGUGAACCUUUACUAUAGCUUGACACUGAACAUUGAGCCUUGAUGUGUAGGAUAGGUGGGAGGCUUUGAAGUGUGGACGCCAGUCUGCAUGGAGCCGACCUUGAAAUACCACCCUUUAAUGUUUGAUGUUCUAACGUUGACCCGUAAUCCGGGUUGCGGACAGUGUCUGGUGGGUAGUUUGACUGGGGCGGUCUCCUCCUAAAGAGUAACGGAGGAGCACGAAGGUUGGCUAAUCCUGGUCGGACAUCAGGAGGUUAGUGCAAUGGCAUAAGCCAGCUUGACUGCGAGCGUGACGGCGCGAGCAGGUGCGAAAGCAGGUCAUAGUGAUCCGGUGGUUCUGAAUGGAAGGGCCAUCGCUCAACGGAUAAAAGGUACUCCGGGGAUAACAGGCUGAUACCGCCCAAGAGUUCAUAUCGACGGCGGUGUUUGGCACCUCGAUGUCGGCUCAUCACAUCCUGGGGCUGAAGUAGGUCCCAAGGGUAUGGCUGUUCGCCAUUUAAAGUGGUACGCGAGCUGGGUUUAGAACGUCGUGAGACAGUUCGGUCCCUAUCUGCCGUGGGCGCUGGAGAACUGAGGGGGGCUGCUCCUAGUACGAGAGGACCGGAGUGGACGCAUCACUGGUGUUCGGGUUGUCAUGCCAAUGGCACUGCCCGGUAGCUAAAUGCGGAAGAGAUAAGUGCUGAAAGCAUCUAAGCACGAAACUUGCCCCGAGAUGAGUUCUCCCUGACUCCUUGA